rnacentral:rRNA from 1 species
UACAGAGGGGGCAAGCGUUGUUCGGAAUUACUGGGCGUAAAGGGCGCGUAGGCGGCCGCCUAAGUCAGACGUGAAAUCCCUCGGCUCAACCGGGGAACUGCGUCCGAUACUGGUUGGCUUGAGUGCAGGAGAGGAAUGCGGAAUUCCAGGUGUAGCGGUGAAAUGCGUAGAUAUCUGGAGGAACACCGGUGGCGAAGGCGGCAUUCUGGACUGUAACUGACACUGAGGAACGAAAGCCAGGGGAGCAAACGAG